rnacentral:rRNA from 1 species
CAUGCAAGUCGAACGGAAAGGCCUCCUCGGGGGUGCUCGAGUGGCGAACGGGUGAGUAACACGUGGGUGAUCUGCCCUGCACUUUGGGAUAAGCCUGGGAAACUGGGUCUAAUACCGGAUAGGACUACGAAUCGCAUGGUUUGUGGUGGAAAGCUUUUGCGGUGUGGGAUGGGCCCGCGGCCUAUCAGCUUGUUGGUGGGGUGAUGGCCUACCAAGGCGACGACGGGUAGCCGGCCUGAGAGGGUGUCCGGCCACACUGGGACUGAGAUACGGCCCAGACUCCUACGGGAGGCAGCAGUGGGGAAUAUUGCACAAUGGGCGCAAGCCUGAUGCAGCGACGCCGCGUGAGGGAUGACGGCCUUCGGGUUGUAAACCUCUUUCAACGCCGACGAAGCGGAAGUGACGGUAGGCGGAGAAGAAGCACCGGCCAACUACGUGCCAGCAGCCGCGGUAAUACGUAGGGUGCGAGCGUUGUCCGGAAUUACUGGGCGUAAAGAGCUCGUAGGUGGUUUGUCGCGUUGUUCGUGAAAACUCACA